CAGAACUUUCCACAUUUAAAUAGAUCCUCGAUACUUUUAAUCACUAUAGUAUCCGCAUCAAGAUAUAAAACUUUCUUGUAGCUAGUCAUAUUAAAGAUUUUAAGCUUGGUAUAUACACCCCAAAACCUCUUUGGCCGCACUUGAUUAGGGUUUGCCAACAAGCUAAUCUUCUCCACUAUCCAACCAUCAGCCUCAAGAAGCUUCAUGGCGUAAUCAGAGACACCAUCAGAGACCAAAACCACCAUGUCCUUGUUCGAUCCAGUGUCUCUAAUCGACUUCCCCAAAAC
rnacentral:misc_RNA from 1 species